rnacentral:tRNA from 1 species
GCCGAAGUGGUGGAACUGGCAGACACGCACGACUCAAAAUCGUGAGCCUUUGCGGGCGUGAGGGUUCGACUCCCUCCUUCGGCA